rnacentral:rRNA from 1 species
CUGGCUCAGGAUGAACGCUAGCUACAGGCUUAACACAUGCAAGUCGAGGGGUAACGAGUGGGAAGCUUGCUUCCCAUGUCGACGACUGGCGCACGGGUGAGUAACGCGUAUCCAACCUGCCACAUACUCGGGGAUAGCCCGGUGAAAACCGAAUUAAUACCCGAUGGCGUCCUUUGCGGCCAUCCAACGAGGACUAAAGGCUUACGGUAUGUGAUGGGGAUGCGUCUGAUUAGCUUGUUGGCGGGUAACGGCCCACCAAGGCGACGAUCAGUAGGGGUUCUGAGAGGAAGGUCCCCCCACAUUGGUACUGAGACACGGACCAAACUCCUACGGGAGGCAGCAGUGAGGAAUAUUGGUCAAUGGGCGAGAGCCUGAACCAGCCAAGUAGCGUGCAGGAUGACGGCCCUACGGGUUGUAAACUGCUUUUAUAAGGGAACAAAGUGAGGCACGCGUGCCUUUUUGCGUGUACCUUAUGAAUAAGGACCGGCUAAUUCCGUGCCAGCCGCAGC